CCACUAACUUUUAUUAUUUUUAAUUGAUUUAAAGUUAAUCUUGCUUUAUGUUAAUUAGUUUUGUGAUUAUGAAUAUCAUGCCAGUUUUUGCGGGUUGUAUUAAUUCUUAAUGAUUAAUCUUUUGUUGGCAGUUUUCUUUUUUGUUUUAUUAAAGAAAUUUAGAUUCAGGUAAUUUUUAUAGAGCAGUAAAAUUAUGUGCCAGCAUAUGCGGUUAUACAUGAUGCUCAAAUUAAUUUUUAUUGAUUAUUCAUUAUUUAUUUUUGUUUAUUCUAUUUUGAUAUUAAUUAAGUGAAAUUUUUAAUUAUUAAUUUGGAAUUUGGUUUAUUAUUUAUGGGAAAGUUAAUGCUUAGACUAGGAUUAGAUACCCUAUUAUUUUAACUGUAUAUUAUAUCAUGGGAUUAAUAGAUAUGUUCUUUAAAUUAAAAAGAUUUGGCGGUAAUUUAGUCUUUACAGAGGAACCUGUUUUUUAAUCGAUGAUCCACGUUGGAUUUUACUUUGAUCUGGGCUUGUAUACCUCUGUCAUUGAAUGUUUUAUUAGAAUUUAUUUUCUUUAAUUAUUAAUUUAAUUAAUGUCAAGUCAAGGUGCAGCAGUAUUAAAGUUUUAAUGGGUUACAUUUAAUGUUAAUUUAUUGGUUUGGAAUUUGAAAUAAUUUUAUUUAAAAAGGAUUUGUUAGUAAAUUAUAUUAUUUAAUAUGGUUGAUUUUUGCUCUGAAUUAUGUACACAUCGCCCGUCGCUCUCAUUCUUCUAUUAGUGAGAUAAGUCGUAACAAAGUAAUUUUACUGGAAGGUGUAAUUGAAUUAUU
rnacentral:ncRNA from 1 species